AUUGAACGCUGGCGGCAUGCUUUACACAUGCAAGUCGAACGGCAGCGCGGGCUUCGGCCUGGCGGCGAGUGGCGAACGGGUGAGUAAUGCAUCGGAACGUGCCCAGUAGUGGGGGAUAGCCCGGCGAAAGCCGGAUUAAUACCGCAUACGACCUGAGGGUGAAAGCGGGGGACCGAAAGGCCUCGCGCUGUUGGAGCGGCCGAUGUCGGAUUAGCUAGUUGGUGGGGUAAAGGCUUACCAAGGCGACGAUCCGUAGCUGGUCUGAGAGGACGACCAGCCACACUGGGACUGAGACACGCCCCAGACUCCUACGGGAGGCAGCAGUGGGGAAUUUUGGACAAUGGGGGCAACCCUGAUCCAGCCAGGCCGCGUGCGGGAAGAAGGCCUUCGGGUGGUAAACCGCUUUUGUUCGGGAAGAAAUCCUCUGGGCUAAUACCCCGGGGGAUGACGGUACCGGAAGAAUAAGCACCGGCUAACUACGUG
rnacentral:rRNA from 1 species